rnacentral:rRNA from 1 species
GAAAUCAACCGAGAUUCCCCCAGUAGCGGCGAGCGAACGGGGAGGAGCCCAGAGCCUGAAUCAGUGUGUGUGUUAGUGGAAGCGUCUGGAAAGGCGCGCGAUACAGGGUGACAGCCCCGUACACAAAAAUGCACAUGCUGUGAGCUCGAUGAGUAGGGCGGGACACGUGGUAUCCUGUCUGAAUAUGGGGGGACCAUCCUCCAAGGCUAAAUACUCCUGACUGACCGAUAGUGAACCAGUACCGUGAGGGAAAGGCGAAAAGAACCCCGGCGAGGGGAGUGAAAAAGAACCUGAAACCGUGUACGUACAAGCAGUGGGAGCCUCUUUUAUGGGGUGACUGCGUACCUUUUGUAUAAUGGGUCAGCGACUUAUAUUCUGUAGCAAGGUUAACCGAAUAGGGGAGCCGAAGGGAAACCGAGUCUUAACUGGGCGUUAAGUUGCAGGGUAUAGACCCGAAACCCGGUGAUCUAGCCAUGGGCAGGUUGAAGGUUGGGUAACACUAACUGGAGGACCGAACCGACUAAUGUUGAAAAAUUAGCGGAUGACUUGUGGCUGGGGGUGAAAGGCCAAUCAAACCGGGAGAUAGCUGGUUCUCCCCGAAAGCUAUUUAGGUAGCGCCUCGUGAAUUCAUCUCCGGGGGUAGAGCACUGUUUCGGCAAGGGGGUCAUCCCGACUUACCAACCCGAUGCAAACUGCGAAUACCGGAGAAUGUUAUCACGGGAGACACACGGCGGGUGCUAACGUCCGUCGUGAAGAGGGAAACAACCCAGACCGCCAGCUAAGGUCCCAAAGUCAUGGUUAAGUGGGAAACGAUGUGGGAAGGCCCAGACAGCCAGGAUGUUGGCUUAGAAGCAGCCAUCAUUUAAAGAAAGCGUAAUAGCUCACUGGUCGAGUCGGCCUGCGCGGAAGAUGUAACGGGGCUAAACCAUGCAC